rnacentral:misc_RNA from 1 species
GAAAUGCGAUAAGUAAUGUGAAUUGCAGAAUUCAGUGAAUCAUCGAGUCUUUGAACGCACAUUGCGCCCCCUGGUAUUCCGGGGGGCAUGCCUGUCCGAGCGUCAUUGCUGCCCUCAAGCCCGGCUUGUGUGUUGGGUCUUCGUCCCCCCGCUCCAGGGGGGACGGGCCCGAAAGGCAGCGGCGGCACCGCGUCCGGUCCUCGAGCGUAUGGGGCUUUGUCACUCGCUCUGUAGGCCCGGCCGGCGCCUGCCGACCCCCUCAACCAUUAUUUCUCCAGGUUGACCUCGGAUCGGGUAGGGAUACCCGCUGAACUUAA